rnacentral:rRNA from 1 species
CAGCCGCCGCGGUAAAACGAAGGGUGCAAGCGUUAAUCGGAAUUACUGGGCGUAAAGCGUGCGUAGGCGGUGAGUUAAGUCUGCUGUGAAAUCCCCGGGCUCAACCUGGGAAUGGCAGUGGAUACUGGCUCGCUAGAGUGUGUCAGAGGAUGGUGGAAUUCCCGGUGUAGCGGUGAAAUGCGUAGAGAUCGGGAGGAACAUCAGUGGCGAAGGCGGCCAUCUGGGACAACACUGACGCUGAGGCACGAAAGCGUGGGGAGCAAACAGGAUUAGAUACCCCAGUAGUCCCUGUCUCUUAUAC